rnacentral:rRNA from 1 species
GCGUUCUAAGGGCGUUGAAGCAUGAUCGUAAGGACAUGUGGAGCGCUUAGAAGUGAGAAUGCCGGUGUGAGUAGCGAAAGACGGGUGAGAAUCCCGUCCACCGAUUGACUAAGGUUUCCAGAGGAAGGCUCGUCCGCUCUGGGUUAGUCGGGUCCUAAGCUGAGGCCGACAGGCGUAGGCGAUGGAUAACAGGUUGAUAUUCCUGUACCACCUAUAAUCGUUUUAAUCGAUGGGGGGACGCAGUAGGAUAGGCGAAGCGUGCGAUUGGAUUGCACGUCUAAGCAGUAAGGCUGAGUAUUAGGCAAAUCCGGUACUCAUUAAGGCUGAGCUGUGAUGGGGAGAAGACAUUGUGUCUUCGAGUCGUUGAUUUCACACUGCCGAGAAAAGCCUCUAGAUAGAAAAUAGGUGCCCGUACCGCAAACCGACACAGGUAGUCAAGAUGAGAAUUCUAAGGUGAGCGAGCGAACUCUCGUUAAGGAACUCGGCAAAAUGACCCCGUAACUUCGGGAGAAGGGGUGCUCUUUAGGGUUAACGCCCAGAAGAGCCGCAGUGAAUAGGCCCAAGCGACUGUUUAUCAAAAACACAGGUCUCUGCUAAACCGUAAGGUGAUGUAUAGGGGCUGACGCCUGCCCGGUGCUGGAAGGUUAAGAGGAGUGGUUAGCUUCUGCGAAGCUACGAAUCGAAGCCCCAGUAAACGGCGGCCGUAACUAUAACGGUCCUAAGGUAGCGAAAUUCCUUGUCGGGUAAGUUCCGACCCGCACGAAAGGCGUAACGAUUUGGGCACUGUCUCAACGAGAGACUCGGUGAAAUCAUAGUACCUGUGAAGAUGCAGGUUACCCGCGACAGGACGGAAAGACCCCGUGGAGCUUUACUGUAGCCUGAUAUUGAAAUUCGGCACAGCUUGUACAGGAUAGGUAGGAGCCUUUGAAACGUGAGCGCUAGCUUACGUGGAGGCGCUGGUGGGAUACUACCCUAGCUGUGUUGGCUUUCUAACCCGCACCACUUAUCGUGGUGGGAGACAGUGUCAGGCGGGCAGUUUGACUGGGGCGGUCGCCUCCUAAAAGGUAACGGAGGCGCUCAAAGGUUCCCUCAGAAUGGUUGGAAAUCAUUCAUAGAGUGUAAAGGCAUAAGGGAGCUUGACUGCGAGACCUACAAGUCGAGCAGGGUCGAAAGACGGACUUAGUGAUCCGGUGGUUCCGCAUGGAAGGGCCAUCGCUCAACGGAUAAAAGCUACCCCGGGGAUAACAGGCUUAUCUCCCCCAAGAGUUCACAUCGACGGGGAGGUUUGGCACCUCGAUGUCGGCUCAUCGCAUCCUGGGGCUGUAGUCGGUCCCAAGGGUUGGGCUGUUCGCCCAUUAAAGCGGUACGCGAGCUGGGUUCAGAACGUCGUGAGACAGUUCGGUCCCUAUCCGUCGUGGGCGUAGGAAAUUUGAGAGGAGCUGUCCUUAGUACGAGAGGACCGGGAUGGACAUACCUCUGGUGUACCAGUUGUCGUGCCAACGGCAUAGCUGGGUAGCUAUGUGUGGACGGGAUAAGUGCUGAAAGCAUCUAAGCAUGAAGCCCCCCUCAAGAUGAGAUUUCCCAACUUCGGUUAUAAGAUCCCUCAAAGAUGAUGAGGUUAAUAGGUUCGAGGUGGAAGCAUGGUGACAUGUGGAGCUGACGAAUACUAA